UUGAAUGCAAUGGCCUCCUUUGUGGCACGCGCUAUGGCAGACGGCAAUGUGCUCCGCAACGCACGGCCAAAAAUAUGAUAUAUCAGAUUCAUAUUAGCGCGAGAAAAACAGAAAGAGGAAGAGAAAAAUAAAGGAGCUCGACUUUGGCUCUACUAGGGCUUAUUAUUGGAGCAUAUUGGUGAUAGAUUGAAACUUUCAAAUACCCAAGCGUGAAUCAUUUGGCACCAUUUGAGCUUGUUGAAGCUUUGGAAGUUGUUAUUGUGAGCGGUAAACCUUUGAUUUCUCAAAGGUUCAGGCAACUGGAGGAAAUUUAAUCUUUAUAGUUGAAUAUUAAUUGUGUUUGUAAAAUGUAAUUUAUGAUUUAAAUUUAUGAUGCAUAUUGGUAAUGUGUUUGACUUGCGAAAUGGUUUAAAAAAAAAACCUUGAUUAUGCCACCUACUUGUGAUUUAUAAAUUUAGUUGUGGCAUGUUGAUGUGAAAGCAAAUAAUUGUGUGGUGUAAUGUGUUGAUGAUGUGGAGUAUAUCAGUGAGUAUGUUGGAAUAUUUGUCAUGAAUGAAUCCUUGAAAUAUAUACAAUGUGAAAAAUGUGCAGAGCAUGAUCAUUGGUGGGAGUUUUCCUAAGGAGAGGAGUAGAUUGAUUUAGAUCCACGUGGUAUUGGCAGUGACCAUUGGAAUCGAAAAUUGGCCUUCGCACUAACCGUUGGAAUCGGGAGGUAGCCCUUGUCCCAUGGUUGAUUCAGGACUGUCCCACUUAUUUUACAAGGAACUCGAACCUAGCUAGUCUCCACCGGUUCAUGAAGAGGCUAGAUUAGAGGUACAACACCCCAUAGUUGUUAGCAUUGGGGGAAACUAGAUUACAUAAAUGAGUGAGUUAACCCUGGCCUGGUAGCUCCUCAUAAGUGGAAGGUUGGGUUAAUCCGUGAAGGACGUAGCUGCGUGAUAGCUACCGGUUUUGUGUUAGAGGUAACAAGAGGGUAUAAGGGUGGCAUAUGAUCAUGCAUAUAAGACUGGCUAUAUGGUUGUUAGUUUUAUGGUCUGACAUAUGUUAGGGGUGCAUGGUUGUUAUUAUUACAACCCCGUGUUGUGCCUUGUGAAAUAUUAUGAUAUUGUGUGUUGUGGGCCCGAUCACAUGGUUGCUAGUUUUGUGAACUAUGGCCAAAUGUUUAUAUGUGGUAUUUGUGUAUUUGCCUAAUUAAAUCUAUUUACAAUUGAUAUACAACUAUAUAGGUUAGGUAAAACUUGGUUACUAAAUGGUUGUACUCACCCCUCAAUUCUUAAUAUUUGUAGGACCUUGCUCAUCGAAUCCGAGUCAGGAAAAACAUACAGAGGCCUAAGAUUGUGAAGUAAUCCUCUAUAUGCCUCUUUUUAGUUGUUCCAUGUGUAUUUGGUAAUAUAAUUGCCAAUUAGGAUCACAUACUAAUGUUUUUAUAGUACUUGCAUUAUUUUGUGCAAAUGGUGUAUUUUGUGCUAUGGGUUAGUGAGUUUUAGUUAUAAACCCGUGGAUAGGGCCAAAAUACUUGUGCAAGUAAAAAUAUAUGUAUUUUGAAAGAUUUAGAAUGAAA